CCUACGGGAGGCAGCAGUGAGGAAUAUUGGUCAAUGGGCGCGAGCCUGAACCAGCCAAGUAGCGUGAAGGAUGACGGCCCUACGGGUUGUAAACUUCUUUUAUAAAGGAAUAAAGUGAGGCACGUGUGCCGUUUUGUAGGUACGGGAUGAAUAAGGAUCGGCUAACUCCGUGCCAGCAGCCGCGGUAAUACGGAGGAUCCGAGCGUUAUCCGGAUUUAUUGGGUUUAAAGGGAGCGUAGAUGGGUGGUUAAGUCAGUGGUGAAAGUUUGCGGCUCCACCGUCAAAUUGCAAUUGAUACUGGCAUUCUUGCGUACAGUUGAGGUAUGCGGAAUUCGUUGUGUAGCGG
rnacentral:rRNA from 1 species